rnacentral:rRNA from 1 species
UACAGAGGUCUCAAGCGUUGUUCGGAUUCAUUGGGCGUAAAGGGUGCGUAGGCGGCGCGGUAAGUCGGGUGUGAAAUCUUGGGCUUAACUCCGAAACUGCAUUCGAUACUGCCGUGCUUGAGGACUGGGAGAGGAGACUGGAAUUUACGGUGUAGCGGUGAAAUGCGUAGAUAUCGUAAGGAAGACCAGUGGCGAAGGCGGGUCUCUGGACAGUUCCUGACGCUGAGGCACGAAGGCCAGGGGGAGCAAACGGGG